rnacentral:lncRNA from 1 species
AAACAACUGAAAUACAUUACAUAACCAGACAUUUGCAACACAAUAUGUAGACACAUCCGAAUAUGUUUAAACCUCAACGCCAAGUGACGUCAUAUUUGAAAUUGUAAAAAAAUGACAAAAAAUGAUGACGUCAUUUGAAUUUGUAUAACAGAUCAUCAAAAAAUGAAAAAUGACGUCAUUUGAAUGAAUAAGAUAGAACUAGGACUGACCCAAG